CGCGGAGUAGAGCAGUGGUUAGCUCGGGAGUCUCAUAAUCUCCAGGUCGUGGGUUCGAAUCCCACCUCCGCUACCA
rnacentral:tRNA from 1 species